rnacentral:ncRNA from 2 species
GAAGACGAUCAAGCGCCAGCACCUAUAUGGUGGACGAGGAAUGAAGUGAUCGAAAUCAUCGGCGGAUGCUUCAUAGGUCUGCAACCUUAGUAUUGUACAAAACAUCGGGCAACCGUUGCACAAAAUCAAUACGGCAGCUCCCC